rnacentral:misc_RNA from 1 species
UUUCCGUAGGUGAACCUGCGGAAGGAUCAUUAUUGAAUAAAUCUGACGUGGUUGUAGCUGACUCUCCGGAGUAUGUGCACGCCCGUCACCUUUAUCUUUCCACCUGUGCACACACUGUAGUCCUGGAUACCUCUCGCCGCAAGGCGGAUGCGGAGUUUGCGCAAGCUCACUCUGAAUUUCCAGGUCUAUGAUUUUACAAACCCCAAUUGAAUGUUACAGAAUGUUAUCAUAAGGCCUUGUGCCUAUAAAUUUAUACAACUUUCAGCAACGGAUCUCUUGGCUCUC